rnacentral:rRNA from 1 species
ACUUUUACUUUGAAAAAAUUAGAGUGCUCUAAGCAGGCCAAUGCUCGAAUACAUUAGCAUGGAAUAAUAAAAUAGGACGCGCGGUUCUAUUUUGUUGGUUUCUAGGACCGCCGUAAUGAUGAAUAGGGACAGUCGGGGGCAUCAGUAUUCAGUUGUCAGAGGUGAAAUUCUUGGAUCUACUGAAGACUAACUACUGCGAAAGCAUUUGCCAAGGAUGUUUUCAUUAAUCAGGAACGAAAGUUAGGGGAUCGAAGACGAUCAGAUACCGUCGUAGUCUUAACCAUAAACUAUGCCGACUAGGGAUCGGACGAUGUUAUUU